CACGUAGGGGACGAGCGUUGUCCGGAAUCAUUGGGCGUAAAGCGCGCGUAGGCGGCCCGGAAAGUCGGAUGUGAAAUCCCGGGGCUCAACCCCGGGCCUGCAUCCGAUACUCCCGGGCUGGAGGCAGGUAGGGGAGAUCGGAAUUCCUGGUGUAGCGGUGAAAUGCGCAGAUAUCAGGAGGAGCACCGGUGGCGAAGGCGGAUCUCUGGGCCUUGCCUGACGCUGAGGCGCGAAAGCUAGGGGAGCGAACAGG
rnacentral:rRNA from 1 species